CGCGCCCGUAGCUCAGCUGGAUAGAGCACCAGACCACGAAUCUGGGGGGUCAGAGGCACGAAUCCUUUCGGGCCAU
rnacentral:tRNA from 1 species